UGGAAGUGGGCGUCGGUGGGAAGCGCGGCCGUGCGGGCUGCGGUCCGCCGGGGCGGGGAGAGAGGAGGGCGGAGGAGAGCCGUGGGGUCGGGUCGGGUCGCGGCUCCUCCCGGAUCGGAAGCGCCGCUCACCCCGAGGGCCUCCCUUUUUAAGGCAGAGCCGCCUCCGUGUCCCGGACGGGGCGGACGCGGCCGGCGGGAAGGGGGAAAGCAAAGGCCCCGAAGGCCUCCUAACCCGCAGCGAGGGCCCCCGGGGGAAACUGAGGACUUGCAGAGACUGGGAGGACUGGGGGAUCCCAGACGCGGCCACCCUAGCUCUGCGUGGUCAACUGGUGGCGCUCAACCACGUGGUUGCUUUUGCACGUAGCCACAAAAAUAAGUAAAACCUCACGUACCACGCAAGCUUUCAGACAAAUAAAAUGGACUCUCCAGGGGGAGCGGAAAUUUUACUGUUUACAUUUUGUUUUUGUUUUGAGACAGGAUCUCAGUAUAUCCGCAAGGCUGUCUUAAAAUUGUUAUCCUCCCGCGUUGGUCUUCUAGUGGCCGGGAUUGCAGGCCCACACUACCAAACCCUGUACUAACCUGUUUUUUUUUUUUUAAAGAUCAUUAUUUUUGUUGUUUAUUUUUUCCAGAAGGGAUUCUCUGUGUUUUCCUGGCUGUCCAGAAACUCACUCUGCACCAGGAACAGAGAUCUGUCUGUCUCGGCCACCUGAGUGCUGGGAUUAAAGACGUGCGCCAUCACUCCUGGCUAUUAUUAUUUUUAAUUAAGUAGUCUUAGGUAGCUGAAGAUCUCCUGAACUCACUAUGUAGCAAGUACUAACCUGGAACUCAGGAGCCUCCACGCCACAAAUGCUGGAAUUAAGGGGCAAACUCACGAAACAGGAACGAGGAGAAGUCCAAGCUCAGGUGUGUAGCGCGGGCACCCUGGAGCUGCAGAAAUAAUCUAGACUUGAGCCUGGGUGCUCAAUCCCUCUGAGCUCAGCAAACAGAAGAGCGAUACAGGGCUGGAGAUGGAUCACGUCACUUCUUCCCCUCUACACACCGUCUACUCCCAGAUUAUUUCUAGCCAGAAACAUCAGCCAUCUCCCGUCCCCUUGCUCCCUCCCAGGUGCCCGCCCAGAAGCUUCCGGACACUCCUCCAUCCCUAGACUUGGGAUGGCUGCCUCGGGACUCCCGGCUCUUCCAAAACCCACAGCCAGCCACAGGAGGGGGAGGGAACUCCGCCCCCACAGAGGCGGCAGGAUAGAAUAACAGGAAGUUGCCUCCCGUUCCCUCUUCAUCUGGAAUGAUAACAGCUGCUUCCAAAGUCCAGAAAACAAAAGACUCAGAAGGAAAGCUGGAAACAGAAAACCUGGAGCGACUGCGCUCAAACCAGGGGUUACACAGAGUGUGGGGGAGGGGUGGGGGCGUGGAUUUCAGCCUCUGUCUCCCCCUCCUUUCUACCAGAGCCCUACCUCUUAACUGUUCUAUACUUGCACAUCACUCUCACGCUGAAUUUUUGCAAGCUAGCCUCAGGGGCUGGAGAAACAGCUCAGCCUAAGAGCACUGGAUGCUCUAACAGAGAACCAGGGUUCAAUCUCCAGAACCACGUGUGGGCGCACAACCUUCUGUAACUCCAGUCCAGGGGGGUCCAACACCCUCUUCUGGCCUCUGCAGCCACUACACACAGGGUGCACAGACACGCACACAGGCAAGACCCCCAUACACGCAGAAUAAAAAUAAAAUAAAAAGUUGGCCUGCUAAUUAACAUGGAAGCCACUGGCCUCUGCGUAUCCUGGGAAAACAUCAGUCAGGACAUUGCACAGAAGAAAACGGGAUGGUGAGGGUCAAAGACAACCUCAUCUCUGUCACGGAUCAUCUCUGGCUUAUGGGAAUAUCCCUGUGUGACAUCAUCUGUGGCAUGGGAACGCCCCCAUGUGAUGCCUAUGGAUCCCCACUAACUCUGUAGGCCACAUGACUAUGUCCUACCUAGUCACUCCAACGCUGAGCCUCACAAACUUUGCCAGGUACUGUCAUUAUGUUGGGGAUACGACCAGAAGAGACUCUAGGGAAAGCAGAAGAAAGGGUAAAGCUGGAUCCUAUGGGAACCCUAAAUAUCACAUAACACAACUUCGUGUUGGUAGAAGCCCUUCAACGGCGGUGUUGCCCACAGGAGGAGCAGCGAAGAAGCCAGGAAAGCAGCCACCAUGAGGACCUUCAAUCCGCUGCACCAGAACCUGGUUUUCACACUUUCCUCCCCAAAAGCCCCUGCCGUGUGUCCUCCAGUAAUCCUAAACUGUCCAUGAGAUGGGUGUGCUGCUUUUUGUAAAGAUUUAUUUUAUGUAUGCGUACACCUGCUGAAGUUAGCGUUCCCUUCAGAGGCCAGAAGAGGGGAUGGGACCUCCUGAACUGGAGUUACGGACGAUCAUGAGUCACCUUGUAGGUUUCAGGAACCAGGUCUGUGUUCAGGUGGAAGUUCCAUCCCGCCCUGCAGGAGUAGCAAGUGCUCUUACCCAGAGCCCCAGGCUGUCAGUGCUGGGCUGACAUACAGAACGAAAAGGCAUAAGCAGGAUUUGAAGUGUAGGCCACUACAACACCCAGACCAACCUAGAUCCCCACUGGGCCUUCUCUCCAGCCACUGAAUAAAUGCCUGCACUUCCUACCCUGCUGUGGACAAGGUCUUUAGAAGUUCAGUAACAACCUGACCAAACUGUCCCCAGAGGAUUUUGGAGUCCCCAGCUGUGUUCAAUCACCUGGCCAACCCACAGUGCACCAGACAGUGAAAACCAUGAGUCCAAACCAAACAAAGCAAGCUUGGUUUUCGAAUUCCUUCAGGGGGAAGUGCUGUUGCUUCAUCUGCCCAUCAGCAUGGCAUUUGGUGGCAACACAGACACCAUCUCAACUGAGACACUGUUUAGCUGGUACUGUGAACAUUGUUUGUGAAUCCAGCCCCUCUGUUUCCGUAGAACCAGGUCAGCGAUACUCAAAUACUUUGUCCCAGGGUGAGUCUUAUUCUCUAGUCAUCCGUCCUCCAGAUAAAUCUGAAAACCCAGGCACAUUCAAUUUAACCAUUAUUCAUUCGCUUCUGAGUUGAAGGAGGCAUUCUUAAUUAAAAAUAAGAAUCAUGUCCUUUCACAGCCCUUGCUUAAUGAUGAGAUUCAGCAAAUUCCCUUAAGUAAUCGUACUAUAAAUUUAAUUAAAUUACUUUUAGUUUAAUAUUAGAUAGUAGUGUGCAUCUAUAAUCUCAACCACUCCAGAGACUGAGGCAGGAGGAUUGCUAAAAUCCUGGAACCUGAGUCCAACUUGGGCAACACAACAAAACCCUAUCUGAAAUGGCUGGCUAACUGGGUUAUUCUGAGGAGACCCCCUGGAUAGACCAGGAUAGACCCACCCUAGGUAAACCCCCAGCUUUUCAAUACAUAGGUGCAUUCCUGUUUCUUGUCUGAAGCAGCGAUCUCACAGCCUCCAUCCCCAGAGGGCCAAGACUUUCCCAAGCCAUCAGGCCUUUGUAGGAUUCACAGGUCACGCUCAUCUUUCUGCUUAACACAUCCUAUGCAGAGAGCUCUACAGGUCUCAGGAACAGCGGAUAGUGCUCAACGACAGAGCGUCCUCACGGCUGCCCUUAGAUUUUUCACUCGCCACAGAGUUAAGUAAAGCUCCUUGUGUUUCAUGGUUCACUGCUAAUCAAAAUGUCUCCCGCCUGACACUCCAGGACAACUCAUUGCCUGGCCCAGUGCCAUCUGUGAUUCCCACGGUGCUCACCUGUGCUCCUGGACAAUCAUUAAUUCGCUGUUUCUAAUUUAGUCUCUCCGUAUUUACCAGAAUUUGUCUACUAAGUCAGAAUUUACACUUCUGAACGACCUGUUACCUUCAAUUCAGAAACACCUAAGAAGACGGAGGGGAAAGAAUUUUUGUGAAAAGCAGAUGUAAGAUGAGAGGGGCACCCCUGGUUUGAAAACUUGCUUUCUUGGAUGGGAUCUUCCCCGCAAGUUGAGACUGCUCCCGAUCAAUAAAUCCCAGGCUGGAGAGCGAAUCUCUCAGAUCCUGUAACUCGGGGGUUCCCGCCACGUUUGCUGUCUCCUCCAGAUACUGCUUUCGGGAAAAGCCUUUCCUUGGAGGGAUGUGGAUUCUGCAGCAUAGGCUGCCAAGUGAUUAGUGCUGUGGUCUGUUAAACUAGCCAGGGGACUAAAGGAGCCGAGAGAGUGUCAUAGCUGUUACUUAAGUAUGCCUCUCUGUUACAUGCUUUAAGGCACCGUGCUUCUAAUUCACCUUGGGUCGUUCCCAGGUGCCCCUCUGUUGCUUGAACACACAAUGAGAUAUAAUGUAAUAACCACAGACAUGCCUUUCAUAUUAUAAGUCACCAUUUCUGGAGAGACAGAAAAGAAAUUAUCGCCCAUUCCUGAAUUUUAAAAAAGCGUUAAAAGUCAGCACCUGUCCUUUGGUAAAAUUCAAGUCUGCAGCCUGAGCUGUAAGGCCUACACCACUCAAAACCUUGGCCUUGGCCUUUCCAUCUAUAAAUGAGAUGUCAGGCGUGAGCAAGGCAGCGUACACUGAAGGCGUAUGAGCUAAGGGAAGCUGUGAGCCCACCUUCCUUCUAGCAGUCUGACGUGGGUCGUUAGAAAGGAUCCCUUGGGCAGCAUGCGAACAGUGUCUACAGACAUCCUGGAAAUAUAAUGACAGUAAAAAUGAUAACGGUUGUUUUUAUUUUUGAGAGAGAUAGGGUCUCACUGGGUGGAUCGGUAGACUAGGCUGACCUUGAACUCAGAGACCUACCUGCCUCUGACUCCAGAAUGGGAGUUAGGCACCGCCACACCUGCCCCCGUCAUGUUUUCCUUACCCUUCCAUCCUUUUAAGAAAUUAUUUUUACAUGUAUUUAUUUGUGUGAGCGUCAGUUCUGGAGAUGGAACUUGGGUCGCUAAGCUCGGCAGCAAGCGCCCUAAGCAGCGAGCCAUCGUCCUGUUAGGCUGCAUGUGAUUCUCAUCUGCCUCAGACAGCUGAUCUAUCAGAAAAGCAGAAGAGCAAGCAUGGGGUCUCAGAAGUCCAGACUGGAUCCACACCAACUGGCCCGGUCAAGUUUUCUCAAUGGUAGUGGGUGUGACAUCCAGACACUCGAGUAGCAGAGCGGCAGGGACAGAGACACAAAAACAAGCAUCGGACUGGCCCACAAGUAGGCGGGAGUACGCGGAGACAGAAAAGGAGAUCAAAAUACAGUGGUCAGUGACUGAAGAAAGGUCUGUGAUCCCACACAGAAUACAGGGGUGGUGGGGGCUGGAGAGAUGGCUCAGCGGUUAAGAGCAUUGCCUGCUCUUCCAAAGGUCCUGAGUUCAAUUCCCAGCAACCACAUGGUGGCUCACAACCAUCUGUAAUGGGGUCUGGUGCCCUCUUCUGACCUUCAGGCAUACA